UACGUAGGUGGCGAGCGUUGUCCGGAUUUACUGGGCGUAAAGGGAGCGCAGACGGAACUGCAAGUCUGAUGUGAAAGCCCGGGGCUCAACCGCGGGACUGCAUCGGAUACUGUAGAUCUGGAGUGCCGGAGGGGCAAGCGGAAUUCCUGGUGUAGCGGUGAAAUGCGUAGAUAUCAGGAGGAACACCGGCGGCGAAGGCGGCUUGCUGGGCUUCAACUGACGCUUAAGCGCGAAAGCUAGGGUAGCGAACGGGAUUAGAUACCCGU
rnacentral:rRNA from 1 species